rnacentral:lncRNA from 1 species
GUGCUUUGUGCAGUCGUGGACAGGGAAGGGAAAUCCUCAUGUCACGGAGCUGUGAGGGAAGGCUGAAAUGCACUGCGCAGUGCAGGACGUCUUGACCCGAGCUGCCUCUGGAGUGACUCUGGUGCAUGGUGGUGUGGAUGAUACUGGCUGCACUGUUGGAGCUUGGACUCAGAGAGGAACAGAGCAAGAUGGAUACCCUUCACAGUCACCUUGUGCUACUUGGCCGUUCUGCUCCAAUCCAGCUCACAAGCAGUCCGCCUUUCUCAUGCUGCUCUUCAGAGUGCAGUUUGGCCCCUCUGAGCCUGUGAGAGACACCUGUGAAAGAAAAAGAAAAGCAUAGGCUGAAGUAUCCAAAGACACAGCACAGCUAGGACAGUUACUCUCAUCUGCUCCCUUACCUCUGCCCCCCUCACCUGCCCACAAGGUAGAUGCUUCCAUCUGCUCUCUUAGGCCAGCUACAACAUCUCUGAAAUAUAAACAGGAUUUUUACUGUAUUUUGUGUAGUUUAGGGGUGCAGUUGUCACUGCAAUUAGUUAAGUACCUGCUACAUCUGGUCAUCGCUCACCUUGCCAAAAGCAGCUCUGGUCGUCAAGUCCCGUGUUGUACACUGUGUUUCAGCUUUAACAACUGAAAACAGUCAAAAGAGAAUCAUUCAGCUGCCAGCAUUAGCACCCAUCCCUCAACAACACAAAGGAACCCUAUUUACAAUAUUAUUGUUUCAAAACAGCAGCCCCCUUGCCUCAGCACCUGGAAAGUAGAUCAAGCCAGUCACCAAGCUGCCUGCUGGGUGCUGGACAGUCCCAGAAGGAGCUCUUUCCUGUUAGAAGUUUCUCCAGAGGUUUACACUCUAUGGGGGACAGGAAAGAAAUAAAAAUAAAUAUUUCAAAACCCCA